UACAGGGGGUGCAAACGUUGCUCGGAAUUAUUGGGCGUAAAGCGCGCGUAGGCGGCUACUUAAGUCGGAUGUGAAAGCCCCUGGCUCAACCGGGGAAGUGCACCCGAAACUGAGUAGCUAGAGUACGAAAGAGGGUCGCGGAAUUCCCGGUGUAGAGGUGAAAUUCGUAGAUAUCGGGAGGAACACCGGUGGCGAAGGCGGCGACCUGGGUCGAUACUGACGCUGAGGCGCGAAAGCGUGGGGAGCAAACAGG
rnacentral:rRNA from 1 species